rnacentral:rRNA from 1 species
UCCUACGGGAGGCAGCAGUGGGGAAUAUUGCACAAUGGGCGAAAGCCUGAUGCAGCAACGCCGCGUGAGUGAUGAAGGCCUUCGGGUCGUAAAACUCUGUCCUCAAGGAAGAUAAUGACGGUACUUGAGGAGGAAGCCCCGGCUAACUACGUGCCAGCAGCCGCGGUAAUACGUAGGGGGCUAGCGUUAUCCGGAUUUACUGGGCGUAAAGGGUGCGUAGGCGGUCUUUCAAGUCAGGAGUGAAAGGCUACGGCUCAACCGUAGUAAGCUCUUGAAACUGGGAGACUUGAGUGCAGGAGAGGAGAGUGGAAUUCCUAGUGUAGCGGGGAAAUGCGUAGAUAUUAGGAGGAACACCAGUUGCGAAGGCGGCUCUCUGGACUGUAACUGACGCUGAGGCACGAAAGCGUGGGGAGCAAACAGGAUUAGAUACCCUGGUAGGCCACGCUGUAAACGAUGAGUACUAGGUGUCGGGGGUUACCCCC